AGUGAACGCUGGCGGUAGGCCUAACACAUGCAAGUCGAACGGCAGCACAGUAAGAGCUUGCUCUUACGGGUGGCGAGUGGCGGACGGGUGAGGAAUACAUCGGAAUCUACUUUUUCGUGGGGGAUAACGUAGGGAAACUUACGCUAAUACCGCAUACGACCUACGGGUGAAAGCAGGGGAUCUUCGGACCUUGCGCGAUUGAAUGAGCCGAUGUCGGAUUAGCUAGUUGGCGGGGUAAAGGCCCACCAAGGCGACGAUCCGUAGCUGGUCUGAGAGGAUGAUCAGCCACACUGGAACUGAGACACGGUCCAGACUCCUACGGGAGGCAGCAGUGGGGAAUAUUGGACAAAAGGGCGCAAGCCUGAUCCAGCCAUACCGCGUGGGUGAAGAAGGCCUUCGGGUUGUAAAGCCCUUUUGUUGGGAAAGAAAAGCAGCAGGUUAAUACCCCGCUGUUCUGACGGUACCCAAAGAAUAAGCACCGGCUAACUUCGUG
rnacentral:rRNA from 1 species